CCUACGGGAGGCAGCAGUGGGGAAUAUUGCGCAAUGGGGGAAACCCUGACGCAGCAACGCCGCGUGAGUGAAGAAGUAUCUCGGUAUGUAAAGCUCUAUCAGGGGGGAAGAAGGAAGACGGUACCCGCUUAAGAAGCCCCGGCUAACUACGUGCCAGCAGCCGCGGUAAUACGUAGGGGGCGAGCGUUAUCCGGAUUUACUGGGUGUAAAGGGAGCGUAGACGGCGACGCAAGUCUGAAGUGAAAGCCCGUGGCUGAACCGCGGAACCGCUUUUGAAACUGCGAGGCUGGAGUGCUGGAGAGGUAAGCGGAAUUCCUGGUGUAGCGGUGAAAUGCGUAGAUAUAAGGAAGAACACCGGUGGCGAAGGCGGCUGACUGGACAGUGACUGACGGUGAGGCUCGAAAGCGUGGGGAGCGAACAGGAUUAGAUACCCUAGUAGUC
rnacentral:rRNA from 1 species